rnacentral:pre_miRNA from 1 species
AGGAGGAACAACCCCAGUGGCGGGGCCAGCUCUGGAGCCCUGGAUUCAGCCCCCGCAGUAACUCCGGAGCUCUCUGUCUGCAGGGCCUGGAGGCUCCGGGGCGGG